rnacentral:tRNA from 1 species
GAUUUUGUAAGUUAAUAUAAACUGUAAAGCUGUUAACUUUAAUAUGCUAUUUUGCCAGAGUCU